UCAUAGUGGGCACGGAAGGCACCGGCCCGUUAUCCUUCCACCGUCGAGAGAGGAAGGUGGACGCUGCUCUGUGAAACCAGCCUCACGCGGUCUCCUCCGCUCUAA